GUGUCAGCAGCCGCGGUAAGACGAACCGUGCGAACGUUGUUCGGAAUCACUGGGCUUAAAGGGCGCGUAGGCGGCAGAUCAAGUCCGGGGUGAAAUCCUCCAGCUCAACUGGAGAAGUGCCUUGGAUACUGAUUUGCUCGAGGGAGGUAGGGGUCGAGGGAACUUCUGGUGGAGCGGUGAAAUGCGUUGAUAUCAGAAGGAACGCCGGUGGCGAAAGCGCUCGACUGGAUCUCUUCUGACGCUGAGGCGCGAAAGCUAGGGGAGCAAACGGGAUUAGAAACCCCGGUAGUCC
rnacentral:rRNA from 1 species